GCCUGGCUGGCUCUGUUGGAGGAGCAUGUGACUCUUGAUCUCAGGGUCGUGAGUUUGAGUCCCACGUUGGGUG
rnacentral:tRNA from 1 species